rnacentral:rRNA from 1 species
GGUUAAGCGACUAAGCGUACACGGUGGAUGCCCUGGCAGUCAGAGGCGAUGAAGGACGUGCUAAUCUGCGAUAAGCGUCGGUAAGGUGAUAUGAACCGUUAUAACCGGCGAUUUCCGAAUGGGGAAACCCAGUGUGUUUCGACACACUAUCAUUAACUGAAUCCAUAGGUUAAUGAGGCGAACCGGGGGAACUGAAACAUCUAAGUACCCCGAGGAAAAGAAAUCAACCGAGAUUCCCCCAGUAGCGGCGAGCGAACGGGGAGGAGCCCAGAGCCUGAAUCAGUGUGUGUGUUAGUGGAAGCGUCUGGAAAGGCGCGCGAUACAGGGUGACAGCCCCGUACACAAAAAUGCACAUGCUGUGAGCUCGAUGAGUAGGGCGGGACACGUGGUAUCCUGUCUGAAUAUGGGGGGACCAUCCUCCAAGGCUAAAUACUCCUGACUGACCGAUAGUGAACCAGUACCGUGAGGGAAAGGCGAAAAGAACCCCGGCGAGGGGAGUGAAAAAGAACCUGAAACCGUGUACGUACAAGCAGUGGGAGCCUCUUUAUGGGGUGACUGCGUACCUUUUGUAUAAUGGGUCAGCGACUUAUAUUCUGUAGCAAGGUUAACCGAAUAGGGGAGCCGAAGGGAAACCGAGUCUUAACUGGGCGUUAAGUUGCAGGGUAUAGACCCGAAACCCGGUGAUCUAGCCAUGGGCAGGUUGAAGGUUGGGUAACACUAACUGGAGGACCGAACCGACUAAUGUUGAAAAAUUAGCGGAUGACUUGUGGCUGGGGGUGAAAGGCCAAUCAAACCGGGAGAUAGCUGGUUCUCCCCGAAAGCUAUUUAGGUAGCGCCUCGUGAAUUCAUCUCCGGGGGUAGAGCACUGUUUCGGCAAGGGGGUCAUCCCGACUUACCAACCCGAUGCAAACUGCGAAUACCGGAGAAUGUUAUCACGGGAGACACACGGCGGGUGCUAACGUCCGUCGUGAAGAGGGAAACAACCCAGACCGCCAGCUAAGGUCCCAAAGUCAUGGUUAAGUGGGAAACGAUGUGGGAAGGCCCAGACAGCCAGGAUGUUGGCUUAGAAGCAGCCAUCAUUUAAAGAAAGCGUAAUAGCUCACUGGUCGAGUCGGCCUGCGCGGAAGAUGUAACGGGGCUAAACCAUGCACCGAAGCUGCGGCAGCGACGCUUAUGCGUUGUUGGGUAGGGGAGCGUUCUGUAAGCCUGUGAAGGUGUGCUGUGAGGCAUGCUGGAGGUAUCAGAAGUGCGAAUGCUGACAUAAGUAACGAUAAAGCGGGUGAAAAGCCCGCUCGCCGGAAGACCAAGGGUUCCUGUCCAACGUUAAUCGGGGCAGGGUGAGUCGACCCCUAAGGCGAGGCCGAAAGGCGUAGUCGAUGGGAAACAGGUUAAUAUUCCUGUACUUGGUGUUACUGCGAAGGGGGGACGGAGAAGGCUAUGUUGGCCGGGCGACGGUUGUCCCGGUUUAAGCGUGUAGGCUGGUUUUCCAGGCAAAUCCGGAAAAUCAAGGCUGAGGCGUGAUGACGAGGCACUACGGUGCUGAAGCAACAAAUGCCCUGCUUCCAGGAAAAGCCUCUAAGCAUCAGGUAACAUCAAAUCGUACCCCAAACCGACACAGGUGGUCAGGUAGAGAAUACCAAGGCGCUUGAGAGAACUCGGGUGAAGGAACUAGGCAAAAUGGUGCCGUAACUUCGGGAGAAGGCACGCUGAUAUGUAGGUGAAGUCCCUCGCGGAUGGAGCUGAAAUCAGUCGAAGAUACCAGCUGGCUGCAACUGUUUAUUAAAAACACAGCACUGUGCAAACACGAAAGUGGACGUAUACGGUGUGACGCCUGCCCGGUGCCGGAAGGUUAAUUGAUGGGGUCAGCGCAAGCGAAGCUCUUGAUCGAAGCCCCGGUAAACGGCGGCCGUAACUAUAACGGUCCUAAGGUAGCGAAAUUCCUUGUCGGGUAAGUUCCGACCUGCACGAAUGGCGUAAUGAUGGCCAGGCUGUCUCCACCCGAGACUCAGUGAAAUUGAACUCGCUGUGAAGAUGCAGUGUACCCGCGGCAAGACGGAAAGACCCCGUGAACCUUUACUAUAGCUUGACACUGAACAUUGAGCCUUGAUGUGUAGGAUAGGUGGGAGGCUUUGAAGUGUGGACGCCAGUCUGCAUGGAGCCGACCUUGAAAUACCACCCUUUAAUGUUUGAUGUUCUAACGUUGACCCGUAAUCCGGGUUGCGGACAGUGUCUGGUGGGUAGUUUGACUGGGGCGGUCUCCUCCUAAAGAGUAACGGAGGAGCACGAAGGUUGGCUAAUCCUGGUCGGACAUCAGGAGGUUAGUGCAAUGGCAUAAGCCAGCUUGACUGCGAGCGUGACGGCGCGAGCAGGUGCGAAAGCAGGUCAUAGUGAUCCGGUGGUUCUGAAUGGAAGGGCCAUCGCUCAACGGAUAAAAGGUACUCCGGGGAUAACAGGCUGAUACCGCCCAAGAGUUCAUAUCGACGGCGGUGUUUGGCACCUCGAUGUCGGCUCAUCACAUCCUGGGGCUGAAGUAGGUCCCAAGGGUAUGGCUGUUCGCCAUUUAAAGUGGUACGCGAGCUGGGUUUAGAACGUCGUGAGACAGUUCGGUCCCUAUCUGCCGUGGGCGCUGGAGAACUGAGGGGGGCUGCUCCUAGUACGAGAGGACCGGAGUGGACGCAUCACUGGUGUUCGGGUUGUCAUGCCAAUGGCACUGCCCGGUAGCUAAAUGCGGAAGAGAUAAGUGCUGAAAGCAUCUAAGCACGAAACUUGCCCCGAGAUGAGUUCUCCCUGACUCCUUGAGAGUCCUGAAGGAACGUUGAAGACGACGACGUUGAUAGGCCGGGUGUGUAAGCGCAGCGAUGCGUUGAGCUAACCGGUACUAAUGAACCGUGAGGCUUAACCUU